rnacentral:misc_RNA from 1 species
GUGAAUCAUCGAAUUUUUGAACGCAAAUUGCACUCUCUUCGGAGAGUAUGCCUGUUUGAGGGUCAGCCUAAAAAAAAAAUCGACAUAGUCGCUGUUUCUCGGUGACAUUCGGCGGAAAUUGUGUUAUCUUAAACAUUUGGGUUUUAAAAUGUUUAAAAUUUUCUUUAUGUUUCUACGAACGUUUUGAAGAUUUUUUUCUUAUAUG